GACGAACGCUGGCGGCGUGCUUAACACAUGCAAGUCGAACGGAAAGGCCCUGCUUUUGUGGGGUGCUCGAGUGGCGAACGGGUGAGUAACACGUGAGUAACCUGCCCUUGACUUUGGGAUAACUUCAGGAGACUGGGGCUAAUACCGGAUAGGAGCUCCUGCUGCAUGGUGGGGGUUGGAAAGUUUCGGCGGUUGGGGAUGGACUCGCGGCUUAUCAGCUUGUUGGUGGGGUAGUGGCUUACCAGGGCUUUGACGGGUAGCCGGCCUGAGAGGGUGACCGGCCACAUUGGGACUGAGAUACGGCCCAGACUCCUACGGGAGGCAGCAGUGGGGAAUAUUGCACAAUGGGCGGAAGCCUGAUGCAGCAACGCCGCGUGCGGGAUGACGGCCUUCGGGUUGUAAACCGCUUUCGCCUGUGACGAAGCGUGAGUGACGGUAAUGGGUAAAGAAGCACCGGCUAACUACGUG
rnacentral:rRNA from 1 species